AAUCCGACAAUACGGCAGGAAGAUCGAAAACCCCGCCAGGUUCGAGAGAAAGCAACGGUAUUGAUUCAGAAUGUGCGUGUUUUCUCGGAUUGCC
rnacentral:SRP_RNA from 1 species